rnacentral:rRNA from 1 species
AUACGAAGGGGGCUAGCGUUGUUCGGAAUUACUGGGCGUAAAGCGCGCGUAGGCGGACUGAUCAGUUGGGGGUGAAAUCCCAGGGCUUAACCCUGGAACUGCCUCCAAUACUGUCAGUCUUGAGUUCGAGAGAGGUGAGUGGAAUUCCUAGUGUAGAGGUGAAAUUCGUAGAUAUUAGGAAGAACACCAGUGGCGAAGGCGGCUCACUGGCCCGAUACUGACGCUGAGGCGCGAAAGCGUGGGGAGCAAACAGCAUUAGAAACCCUUGUAGUCC